rnacentral:lncRNA from 1 species
UUAUUAUGGGUUAGUAUAAUUGGUUCAAUGGGUAGAAAUAUGUUUAGGUUGAAAUCCCUAAUUUUAUGGUUUUGAAAUUGUUAAGUUUUGAUGAGUAAUCUUUGAUUUGUGAUGUUUAAUUGCGUUUGGAAUGGAUAUAUGGAUGAAAUUGAUCAAUGGGUAGAAAUAUGUUUAGGUUGAAAUCCCUAAUUUUAUGGUUUUGAAAUUGUUAAGUUUUGAUGAGUAAUCUUUGAUUUGUGAUGUUUAAUUGCGUUUGGAAUGGAUAUAUGGAUGAAAUUGAGGGAUAGAUUGAGAAACCACUUAGUUUAUUAAAUUUCAUUACAGUAAUGGUAACAUUAAGAAAAAUUCUGUGUUCGUGUUAAC